CACACAGGCCUCUCCUCUCUCCUCUUCCUCCAUGACUGGUAGAAACGAGGGAUGAAGGGAUGAAGAGCAAGAGGUGGUGCUCAUGGAAAGUAUGCAGCUUGAUAACAUGCUUUAUGAGGUAUUAAUAGCAGAAAGCUUCGAGUGGAGGGAAGGGGUGUGUGUGUGUGUGUGUGUGUGUGUGUGUGUGUGUAUGUCAGUUGAAAAACAGGAGCAGGCGGUGCGCUCUCCGAGUACUCAACCACUUGUGUGUUGGUUAGCAGAGCUCAGCACCUGGUCGUCCCGUCAGGGAACAUCGGUCACGGUUCUUCAGACGCCUUCAGGGACCAGAGGGAGGAGGGCUUCUCCCUGAAGGCCAUGAGGCUUUGGGGGAGACACCCCAACACGUCUCCUGUUGCUGUUCUACAAGGUGUGGAUGCUACUCCUGAUGGACAGCACCAGAACAACAGCACUGCAGGACAGAGACCACAGGAGACCAGCAGGACCUCCACCGGUGGUCUAAGGGACCACUCAGACCGAGGAGAGUCCUCAGACCAGAACCCCUCAGACCAAGGAGAGUCCUCAGACCAGAACCCCUCAGACCGAAGAGUCCUCAGACCAGAACCCCUCAGACCAGAACCCCUCAGACCGAGGAGGCCUCAGCAGUGGCGGCUGGUGACAUUUUUUUUUGGGGGGGGGGGGGCGCAGUUUAAAUCGCACUCAACAAUGAGAAAAGAGGUUUUGAGUAGAAUAUAGUAAAAAACAAAGCUUUAUUUAAAGAACACAGCGUGCUCAACACGGUCCAACAACAACUAUCAACACACUGUGACUUUGGGCAUGAGAGGUUCAGAGCAGCUUUAAGGAACAUUGGGUUGGGUUUCAGAGGUUUGCAGAAUAAAAGAGUUUCACCCUCACAUGAAAGAGGUUCAGAGCAGAAUAGAGUCAGAAAGAGAUCACAUGUUACAUUGGGUGACAGAGUAGACCCACUACUGUAAAGACAAGUAGCUCCUCUCUUUAAAGUGGUCAAACUUCUCCAUAACUCUCUGGUUAAAGUCAAUCAUGUCUGUAACCUGCUUCAUUAUUCUGGAGGGAAUGUGUCUGUUUUUCAGAACUUCUUCGUUGUGUUUCGAUGCCAGUUCGGUCUCCUUCUGCUGACUGUAAACAGGGUUAGCUUCAUGCUGUUAGCAAGUUAGCUUCAUGCUCUUAGCUAGAUAACUGUGGCAAGAUUCGUGCUUUGCACUUGUCUGAAGCUUUUUAGAUCCCUCCCCCGUUGUAGUCCAGAGAGUUUCAGUCCCUUUGGAACAACAGACAGGGGAAACUAAACAGCAUUACUCACUGAGCACCAGCUGACAGCUCCGUUAGCUACCUGCUCGCGUAGCUCCGUGGAGCUCUCUGGCUGAGGAAAUGAUACCGGUCUCUGAUUGGCCGAAUAGUCCAACCACGUGAAAUAAUAAAACGAUGUCAUUGGCCAA